UGAGGAAGGUGCACACGCCGACGUCCGCUCGAUCCAUUCACCGAUCGCCUAGCGAUUUGAUACCACAAGCGGACCAUUCUAUGGGCAACGCUGGUGUUGUGGAUUGUAUGUCCGGUGCGAAGGAGGGCACACGCCGGCCGUUCGGCAGCCAGGCCGGCCAGUAGCGACAGCCGGCCACGAGGCGGGGAGGCGUCUGUCUGCGGACGUCUUGCUGCUGGGAGCUGGCCGAACUGGUCGAUUUCUUUUGAUGGAGUAGCACAUGUGCCUUGCAGCUGUUUGUGUUUAUGCCUAAUGGAGAAAGGGGGCGAGCUGUUUGUCAUGAUCGGCAUCAGUGGCUCGGCUGGAUUGCGACUUGCCAGGGAGAGGCUCCAAAACAGUGUCACUCAACACAGAGACCCUCCAUGGCCGCCGCCGCAACACCUCAGUUCGAGUGAUGCAGGUACCUAAGAGUAGACUGUUGUUCUGACCAGUGUCGACAGAGAUGACUUACCUGAUUGUGGAAGUGGCCAUUUUUCUCAGACAUUUGGAGCUUUGAAGGAACUCAAACGUGGGAUAUUGGUGAGAUGCUUAACCUCCGACUUCCAAGGUGAUCUGGAGGUUGUUUCCUCUUUCGCAGAUUCUGGUCUAGAUGUCUCUGCCCAUAACACUGAGACUGUGAAAAGUUGAUGCAAAAUUGUGAGGGAUCCUCGAGUAGGGUAAUUUGACCCACUGAUUUUUAGUGUCAUCACAUUGCACGUUAGACCAGUGGAUUAUGUAAAUUUGAAGAACCCGUAAAACAUCAAUUCACCUGAUUCACUGAACCUGUCAGAUUACCAGUCAUCAACAGUAACGAAAUAACGAAAAUACAAAGAAUCACUGGUUGCAGUUUUUACUUCUCUAUAAUUUGAUAUUCUCUUUAGAGGUGUACAAGUGCUGUAGUUUUCAAACUUCGUAUAUAUCAACAUAGGUAUUUAACUGUUAAACUUCAAUUUCCCUUAUCCUAUUUACGUGAAUAGUAUACUUAGUUCUAGCUGAAAGGCUGAAACCAACCUAAAGUUAAACAAAUAUUGCGACUUUUAUUUCCACUACCAUGAGACUCCAAUCAAUUCCAUAAGAUGAUUGUACUAUGGUGAUGUAACCAGCUUCAGGCCAUUGGCGUGUUUUAGUCUGGAUGAUAUAUCUCCCGUUUGUACCCUGAAUAAACCAUGAAUCUCAUUUGGGCUUGGAGGAUUCAGUGGGCGAAGAUUGGCUGCGCUUCUCCAUCCUCUCGCCGUUGAACUCCAUCCUCUACUAUGCUCUCUCGCUCGAUCAGUCCUGUUUGGUGGUCUGGUGAUGCACAUGGAGCAAGGAAGACAAAGUUUGAGCCAUCCACGUUUUCCCUCCCUUCGGUUCUUCCUUCUGGACGUCGCACUCACCACCCUUGCUGUUCAUUAGUUUGCAUCAGGUCAAGAGUUGAUUCUUGAUGGCUUAAUUUAUGAAGUGUAUGAUAAUCAUAAAAAGUGCUAAUAUCCAUCUGGGGCAAUAUUGUGGUUUAGGACGGUAUUAUGGAUGCUAUGUGGAAAAAGUUGGGGUCAAUGGUAGACCAAAAGGCCAUAAUUAUUAAAUACAAGACCUUGCAAAAUUAUUGAUGAUCAGAUGAUUUUCAAGGACUUCCGAGUUACCAUACAUUAAUGUAACUACAGAUUAUGCAAGGUAUCCUUAGAUUUGUGCCCCUUUUGAUAAUAUUGUGCAUUUUAAAUUCUUCUGUGUACAUUGAUAAAGUUUAUCGGCUUUUAACUGAUACUAUAUAUAUGCUAAAAGGAUAAAAAAAUCGAUAAUGCCAAGAAAACAAGCUUCUUCCAUUUUUUUGUCCUACAGUAUGACAUGGUAAUCAAAAGGCUAUGCAUGCUACUUUUUUUUCUGAGUGCUAAUUUUCAGAUAUCCUAUUCCAUUCAUGUUUAAGCUUUAAAUUUUAAUCAAUAUGUACAGUUUGCAUAUUCGAAUAAUUACACCAGCAACCUUAUAUUUCCAAUUGUUCUUUUCCAGAGAGUGAAGUUAAAUGUUGAAUGCACAAUGGCUUUGGUAAGAAUAAUGAUUAAAAAAUCAUUUAAAACGAGCUAAGAACUUGAUAAACAGAGAUGUAAAGGGGUUAAAUGCAUGGCUCCUUUUAAUUAAUUUUCUAGGUAGCUUACAGAUUUUCAGAGUUCUAUUUACACUUCUAACAGCCCUUUUCCCUAUAUCAUUACUCUAUCCCGUUUGGCUAUCUCUGUUUUGUCAGAUGUGGAUGCUUGAAGGCGAGAGAUCUGGCUGGGCAAGUGGCCGUUUCCGUUCGUCGGUUAUUUGGUCUCUGAUGAAUGGAGAUUUUAUCGCGCUUCCAUCGGCCGGAACCUUUAGUUCCUUUUCAACCUAUUCAUUUUUCUGGUUUUCAGCAUGGUACUUUUGUACUCUUUUUCGUUGGCAUCAAUGUUGGUUCUCUGACCAGUAGAAACGUGUAUCGCCACAGGUUGGUCUCCACGGGUCCACUAUGUAUAAUCUACUGUACUAAGUAUUCUAGCGCUGCAGCAAUCUCUCUAUUGUCCACCAUGCUGUCUAAACUAAAUUUUUAACAAAGCAGUUUCGAAAACA